UGGCACUCUAUAUCUGCACGCUGUUGGCUAGAGCGCAAAUGCCAAUACCGGAGUGGGCACACUUGCUGAAUAACACAACAUUUGUUUUUGUGAGAAAAGCGUUAGUAGAGUUGUGAAUACGAUGGAAACCCAAUUAACUCCGCUUUUGAAGGCCCCCUGUCGGCUCCCCUUUUGAAGUGCCAUUUGGGACGCAAACAUUGAACAUUAAUAACCUAAAGGGUAAAUAAACACCGUGGAAAAUGUCACAUAAUGUGGGGAAAAGCGGAUGAUUUAUUAAAACGCCUUCCAAGUACUGAAAACAUGGAAAAGAUCUAUCCGCUGCCUUGGACACCGUGAACCAUCAGAUCCUCCCCUCCACCCCUCUCAGGGCUGUGGAUGUCUCAGGCUCCGCACACUCUUGGAUUGCAUCCUCCCGGCCAGGCCGCUCCAACCAGACAUGCAUACAGCACUCGGACCAGCAGAACCAAAACUUUUAGCCAAUAAGUCGCUAAAAAAAAAUGUUUUUGCCGUCACCUUUCCGGGACUGACAGAGUCAGAACUGGUCCAUCUUGGGAGAGGGGCCAGCCAUUGCCCACUGGUAUGGUAAAUGCUAAAUAUAGAUUAUUAUAUAGAUGAUUAGAAAAAUAGCACAAAAGUCAUUAAAAAAAG